UACCAGACUCCUACGGGAGGCAGCAGUGGGGAAUAUUGCACAAUGGGGGAAACCCUGAUGCAGCGACGCCGCGUGAGCGAUGAAGUAUUUCGGUAUGUAAAGCUCUAUCAGCAGGGAAGAAAAUGACGGUACCUGACUAAGAAGCCCCGGCUAACUACGUGCCAGCAGCCGCGGUAAUACGUAGGGGGCAAGCGUUAUCCGGAUUCACUGGGUGUAAAGGGAGCGUAGACGGCCAUGCAAGCCUGGAGUGAAAGCCCGGGGCCCAACCCCGGGACUGCUCUGGGAACUGUGCGGCUGGAGUGCGGGAGGGGCAGGCGGAAUUCCUGGUGUAGCGGUGAAAUGCGUAGAUAUCAGGAGGAACACCGGCGGCGAAGGCGGCCUGCUGGACCGCGACUGACGUUGAGGCUCGAAAGCGUGGGGAGCAAACAGGAUUAGAUACCCGGGUA
rnacentral:rRNA from 1 species